UGCCCUAGGGACAGAGACAACCCCGGGAAACUGGGGCUAAUCCCUGAUAGGUGAAGAACUCUGGAAUGAGUCUCCGCCCAAAAGACGCUUACAUCAUGCUGUAGGCGUCGCCUUAGGAUGGGGCCGCGACCGAUCAGGUUGUUGGUGAGGUAACGGCUCACCAAGCCAUUUACCGGUACGGGCCGUGAGAGCGGGAGCCCGGAGAUGGGCACUGAGACAAGGGCCCAGGCCCUACGGGGCGCAGCAGUCGCGCAAACUUUGCAAUACACGAAAGUGUGACAGGGCUAUCCCGAGUGCCGCCCGCUGAGGGUGGCUUUUACCCAGUAUAACAAGCUGGGAGAAUAAGGAGAGGGCAAGACUGGUGU
rnacentral:rRNA from 1 species